CCCUUCGACUCUAACCUUGAACCUUAGAGAGACCGCUGCCCUUAGAUACUCACCUACAUCUCAGGUGGUGGUGACGCCAUAAACUACCCCAAUCCCCACAAAAUUAACACCCCAAACUCCCCUUCAUUUCCCUAUUCCAAAUCUUCACUUCUUUUCCCUCGAAUCCUCACAGAACGCGUCGAAUAUUAGAUCAGAGCAUGAACCCUAAAAUCCCAAAAAUCAAAUUGGCAAGGUUUUUAAAAAUAUUUGAGGUAGGAGCCGACUUUAGUCGUGUGUUUUCAGUCGAGAACGCACGAUUAAGGUCUAUCUCGGCAAAAAAUUAAAGUUUCUUUGGAGAUUAGUUCAAGACUUAUUUCCGCCUGGCCUGAUAGGUAUUUUCUAGUUUUUUCUCUUUUCCGUGUUUCUUAUUUUCUUCUAUUCUCCUUCUUUUUCUUCUGUGUUCUCAAAAUUUAUCUCUGCAUGUGUUUCUUUUAAGUUAGAAUUAAUGUCAGUUAUUAGCUUCUUCAGUUUUGUUUGAAUUCGAUAGGUUAGUUUGUUUGAUUGUUCUCUUUAGUUUUGGGCCAUUUGAGAGCAUUUGGUUCAUGAGGUUUGAUUGAAAUCUGAAUCACCCAUUUUUCUGCCUUCUCGUUUCUUCUGAAUUUUUGAUUUAGACCUGGGCCCAAAGAAAAGGUAUUAGCCCAGGUCUUGUUAGAAUCAGGCUGGUUUGAGUCUUUGGGUCGAAUUGACCCAUGAAUUUUCUGAGGCUAAUUAAAAGAUUUUCAAGGGUCAAAUUAGGAAAUCAAGGUGAGGGAAUCUAUAGUAACGGAAUAGAAAGCUUCCAGGAAAUGGGGUUUGGGACUAUUCUAAAAUUCUGGAAUUUACAUCAGGGGUGCCUAAGCUAAAAUGAAAAUAUCUGAAGGUUUAAGUGAAAAACAUGGUUUAUUUAUGCUGCCCUAACAUCUUGCCUAUGAAGGCAUCAUUGCUUGGUAUUCAAGAAAAGAUAGGGGAUAAGAUUUGGGAGAAAUCAGAAAUGGCUAAGAAAGACUACAAAACACUAAAAAGGUCUGAAAAAUUAGGAGAAAAAUACAAAAAAAGGCACCACCAACACUGUUUCAUUGAAGUUGUGUUUGUUUUCUUUGGGUUUCUUAAAAGAUUGAAAUAAUCUUGACUCUUUCUGGGAUCGAAAUGGUUUGAUCAAGCUGAAACUAUUGUUGUUGAUUUGCUGAAUCUCAUCCUCUUUUGCUGCUGAUUUUCUCACUGUCCUUUGUUUUAAUUUCACCAGGUAUUCCAUGGAUCUCUUUAACCUAUGAAGUGCAACAAGAGAAGCCUUUGUAAUUCAUAUGCAAUUAAAGACUUUGAUGUCUAAUGAAUGAUAAUUCAUGUUGUAGUUUUGUGUUAUUAGCUUCUUUGGAUAUGUUCAUAUAAUUAGUAUGAUUUGUUUGAGUUUAGUCGGUAAAUCUGGACAGAAACUAUAAUUAAGGUGCUGAUGUUAGAUGGUUUGAAAUUCUGCUCUUAUGAGGGUUACUUAGGUGCUUUAGUUGUAAAAGGUUCAGAUGGAUGAAUAAGGACAUUGAUCUGUAGUUACAUAUGUAAUGUAGAUUUCCUUGAGAAUAUUAGUUGGGCUUAGUUAGUGUUGAGCAUGCUAGGGGUUUGAGUCACCUUAAUCUAGUCAAGUAUUCUCUCAAUAAUCUGCUUGCAUUGAAGAUUUGGCACUGUUGGCAAAGGAUUAUGAAUUCAUGUGUUGAUUUGUUCAUUGCAUUUACCAGUUAGUUGUUUCUUCAAAUGAGCCAAGGUUUUGGUGAAAUAACACUGAAUUCAUGUGGAAGUUGGUAUAAUAGGGGAAUCAUGAGUAAUAGAGAUGUUGGCUUUCUGUUAAAUCAGUUUAAUGUUCGAGUCUUUUGAUCUCAAAUAGGAG
rnacentral:lncRNA from 1 species